rnacentral:snoRNA from 14 species
UGCCAAUGAUGUGCCUAAACAAUUGCACGUAUUAUCAGAUUUUUCAGUGAUGAAUAUCACUUAUGUCUGAGGCA